rnacentral:rRNA from 1 species
UACGUAGGGUGCGAGCGUUGUUCGGAUUUACUGGGCGUAAAGGGCGCGCAGGCGGCUCAUUUUGUCAGGCGUGAAAGCCCCGGGCUUAACCUGGGAACUGCGUUUGAUACGGAUGGGCUAGAGUUCGGGAGAGGAGAGUGGAAUUCCCAGUGUAGAGGUGAAAUUCGUAGAUAUUGGGAAGAACACCGGUGGCGAAGGCGGCUCUCUGGACCGAUACUGACGCUGAGGCGCGAAAGCGUGGGGAGCAAACAGG